rnacentral:rRNA from 1 species
GCGUUGGGAGCUCUCCNNUAUGGUCGACCUGCAGGCGGCCGCGAAUUCACUAGUGAUUAGAGUUUGAUCCUGGCUCAGAUUGAACGCUGGCGGCGUGCUUAACACAUGCAAGUCGAACGUGAAAGUCCUUCGGGGCGAGUAAAGUGGCGCACGGGUGAGUAACGCGUGGAUAAUCUACCCUUAAGAUGGGGAUAACGGCUGGAAACGGUCGCUAAUACCGAAUACGCUCCCGAUUUUAUCAUUGGGGGGAAAGAUGGCCUCUGCUUGCAAGCUAUCGCUUAAGGAUGAGUCCGCGUCCCAUUAGCUAGUUGGCGGGGUAACGGCCCACCAAGGCAACGAUGGGUAGCCGGUCUGAGAGGAUGACCGGCCACACUGGAACUGGAACACGGUCCAGACUCCUACGGGAGGCAGCAGUGGGGAAUAUUGCGCAAUGGGCGAAAGCCUGACGCAGCGACGCCGCGUGAGGGAUGAAGGUUCUCGGAUCGUAAACCUCUGUCAGGGGGGAAGAAACCCCCUCGUGUGAAUAAUGCGAGGGCUUGACGGUACCCCCAAAGGAANCGCCGGCUAACUCCGUGCCAGCAGCCNCGGUAAUACGGAGGGUGCAAGCGUUAAUCGGAAUCACUGGGCGUAAAGCGCACGUANGCGGCUUGGUAAGUCAGGGGUGAAAUCCCACAGCCCAACUGUGNAACUGCCUUUGAUACUG